rnacentral:rRNA from 1 species
UGGGGGAGUAUUGCACAAUGGGGGGAACCCGUGAUGCAGCGACGCCGCGUGGGUGAAGGAGCGUUUCGGCGGGUAAAGCCCUAUCGGCAGGGAAGAAGGAGGACGGUACCUGACUAAGAAGCCCCGGCUAACUACGUGCC